UACGUAGGGUGCGAGCGUUGUCCGGAAUUAUUGGGCGUAAAGAGCUCGUAGGCGGUUUGUCGCGUCUGCUGUGAAAUCCCGAGGCUCAACCUCGGGCCUGCAGUGGGUACGGGCAGACUGGAGUGCGGUAGGGGAGAAUGGAACUCCUGGUGUAGCGGUGGAAUGCGCAGAUAUCAGGAAGAACACCGAUGGCGAAGGCAGAUCUCUGGGCCGUAACUGACGCUGAGGAGCGAAAGCAUGGGGAGCGAACAGG
rnacentral:rRNA from 1 species